CUAUUACACUUCCAUUACGUUGAAAUUCCCUAAUGAGGGACCUGCAGUUAUUGCAGUUUGAAAAAUCGUUCCAUUCGGGUGUGUCGUACCCGACAUAUUUCAACAAGUAUUGGACCUUUCGUCCAUUUUCAAACUGCACAACCCUACAAACGGCGAAGAAAAAUAAUUAAAACACAAUAAGAUAAAAAAAAUUUAUAAAUGAAAUUAAAUUUGAUAAUGUUUCCCUUACCUUCGGUUUAAACAAUCCUCAACCUCGAAUUCUUCGUACAUGUUGUACAUGUUGGAGGGGACUUGGUGGAUGGGGACUUGGUGAUUCCUCGGCAUCUUGGAUAUGAUCUAGUCUGGCAACCCUACUUAUCCAUACUCCCCAUCAGUUUUGGAUGCAGUCGCCGAGGUGAAGGUUUGAAAAAAGUUAAAAAGUCUCUUCUUGACUUGUUUACCUGGAAUCUUGCCACAAAAAGUUUGCUGAUGAAGGAAUUAAAUUUAAUGCUGGUUGAAUCCGACCAUAAGUACAACUACUAAUGCCCGUCUUAGUGGACGGCUCCUUGUACAAUCACUUACGGAAUUCAUCUUGAAUUGACCCAAAGUUAUUCUGUAUUUGUCUUUGUUGGACUGGCCAUUGCUGUUUUUUUCUCAACAGUUGGUUUGUUAUCCAGAUGUAACAACAGAAAAGCCUAUGUUGGCAUGUAAUGCGUUUAAAGAAGUAGCUAACCAAUAACCAUGGGAAGAAAUCAGCAUGGUAAAUGUUGGAGCAGAAUGGUCGCCGGAAAGAGUUCCGUAAAAAUAGCACAAAAGUAGAAGGACGCAGACAAUAGCUGAAAGCUCAUGAGGGGUCAGCAAACUAAUUCUUUUUAUUCUUAUUUUUAAUCUGUUGGAGGUGUUUGCCAUUGUAAUUGGCAUGAACUUGUAACACCUUCACUGCUGAAUCUUAUUUGACAAGUGCACUUUAUUUUGUGUUGGCAACCAUUAACCAUCACCAUUUCAUCAACCUUCUUCUCACUUCUAGUGAGCCUCUCAAGUGACCAGAUUUUAUGUUGACCUUGUGGAACUAAAAGUGCAAAGGGUGCAGGCCCUGAAGGAUUUGACAAGUGCACCGUAUGCUGUGUUUGCAACCAUUAACUACCACCAUUUGAGCAAUCAUCUCAUCAUUUCUACUGAACCUAUUGUGUGAAAGGAUUUUGUGUUCUAAGUACGAGGAACUUAAAAUGCAAAGGAUACUGGCCCUGAAGGAAAGUAAUCAGCUAAAUAAAUAUCACCAACAGAAAUACAUGUCAGACAAUGUCAACGCCAUC